CUCAUUAAGGUGGGUGGAAUAGUAUAACAAUGUGCUAAAUGUUGUUAUAGUAUCCCACCUACCCUGAUGUG
rfam:Ictidomys tridecemlineatus contig065030, whole genome shotgun sequence.